rnacentral:misc_RNA from 1 species
GUCUCACAUUUUUCCUACCAAACUCAUUGAUCGCUGCUGCCCCACAAAUUCCCUUCCAAAAAAGAACUAAUCGACCAAAUCUCGUAGUCCACCACAUCCAUCGUCCAUAUACUCAUUUCCAUAGAUCAACUUACACCGUUGGAUUAAAGUCAUGUGUCGUUAGAUUAAAAUGUGCAACCCUAAAUAGCUUUAUCUUUCUUUUCUAGUCCAUUUAUUCGCCGCCGCCGCCGCAACUCUCACCUCUCCUACAUCUCUACUUAUAACCACGACACCCACAGACACCCUUCUUCAUCCCACGCCUUCAUAGAUCAUCGCCGGAUCUCAUUCGAUUCUUUCUUGUCUCCAUAUCUAACUAGUUCUAGAGUCCGCCAUGGCCCCCACUACCUCCACCCCCUUCAAAUCUAGGGUUUGAGGCUACAAGCGGAGAGGGAUAAGUGGUGGAAACUUGAUGUCCAAAUCAAUCAUGAGCCCGGGGUACGGGCCAUGGAAUCACUUCAUCGAUCGAACACACGACGAAUCAGCACCCUCAAAAAUCAGAAGCUGGAACCCCUCUAGGCCCAUGGGAAGAUUGGAUGCUGAGAAGAGGAAGGCGAUCGAGGGUUUUGGGACUACUCAUCCAUGCAAUCAGGGGCGAAGCUAUGUUCAGGAGAGAGGAUGCACAUGCACCCAAGAAAAUUUACAAAAUCAAUGUUUUAGACCAGAUUUUGACCAUAUAUGCACCACCUAUAAAUCAUUGCUAUACACCCUCAAAGUAUGUGCACCCUC